UCCUGUUAACCUGCCAGUAACUCAAUAUAACUAAAGAAACACUCUUACAAGCCUAUAUUACGCUUUAUCUACACUUUACAGAGCCUUUUCAAUGUAGUGGUGCAGCGCAGGAGUGUUUCAGAACAUGCCUCCUACUGGAAGUCACUUGGUCACAUUAGUCUCCGUUCCGACACAAGAGAAGGAUGGGAGGAUGGGGGUGGUCUUUCUUCUCUACCAGUGUGUGUGUGUGUGUGUGUGUGUGUGUGAACGUUUCAGAUUAUGGCCCAUAUUGAGACAAAGGACUAACUGCGUGCGUGGUUACAAUGCUCUCUGCUCCGACACUAGGAAAAGAUAUGAAGGAUGAGUGGGGCCUUCCUUCUUAGCAGUGUGUGUAUAUAAGAAGCAUGCACUUCACAGACCUCAGAAUACCCUUGUAGCAGACGAGUGGUGGACGCGUAGCUGACUGCCAAGAGAGGCACUGGUAAUACACAAAGGAGACGAACGCUGCAACGAUACACGCACUCCUGCAAACCCGGACGAAAUGAAGAAAGGAGGGAAAGAGGACCCGGAAGCAUUUGAUAGGCUGCGGAGGUCGUUCAAUGAAUCUCACGUGAAAGGGAAUCACAGACCAGACAAACCAUACAACCAUCAAGGAGAUUUCUUCAACCCAGACCAUCGUGUGCAUUCCCUCAGGCUCUCAGGGGCCCCGAAAGGCAGUCGAGUCGAGGGAACCAUACCAGGCCAGACCAGUGUAGCAGUGCAGAAUGUGAGCUACCGAGAAACAGGCUACAAGCAAAGCAACCGGGAUGGAAUGUCAGACUUUCGGCUUACUGGGAAGAAGGACGGUCAUAGAUUCGAUCCCCAUCAUUUGAACGGACAACUUAAAAGGAGCGUUUGGGAAGAACAGAACAAGACAAAGACGAGAUAUGAGGACCAUAAAGGAUGCAUUUUUUCAGAGUGUAGUAGUUCCGUUAGUGCUGGUAUGUCCGCCGGGUCCUCUAGCAAGAACAAUAUAAAACGGGUUUCCAACAAAGUGAAAACAGAAGAAACAAAUAACUGGUGGAGCAAGCAUUUCUCAAACAAAAGGGAUAAAAUGUAGAAAUGAAAAUUCUGCUUAUUCUUAAUGAUACAGGUAUAUUUUCCUUAUAUUCAGUUAUAUUCUGCAUGUCAUGUAUCACCACCACCACCACUACUGCUAAUAUUAUUAUGUUGUUAGGUUACACUUAUUAAUGUUUUCCUUAUAUUCAGUUAUAUUCUGCAUGUCAUGUAUCACCACCACCACUACUUAUGCUAAUAUGAUUAUGCUGUUAGGUUACACUUAUUAAUAUUUCACUGAUAAGAUUUGUUUUACUGAUGUAUUUAGAGGUAAAUAAAACUCUCUCUCUCUC